rnacentral:rRNA from 1 species
AUUUUUGGGCAAUGGGCGCAAGCCGAUCCAGCCAUUCCGCGUGUGUGAAGAAGGCCUUCGGGUUGUAAAGCACUUUUCAGCCGGAACGAAAUCGCGCGGGGUUAUUACCCCGCGUGGAUGACGGUACCGGAAGAAAGAAAGCACCCGGCUAACUACGUGCCAGCAGCCGCGGUAAUUCGUAGGGUGCGAGCGUUAAUCGGAAUUAUUGGGCGUAAAGGGUGCGCAGGCGGUUCUGCAAGUCAGGCGUGAAAGCCCCGGGCUUAACCUGGGAAUGGCGCUUGAAACUACAGGACUGGAGUAUGGCAGAGGGAGGUGGAAUUCCACGUGUAGCGGUGAAAUGCGUAGAGAUAAAAGAGGAACACCGAUGGCGAAGGCAGCCUCCUGGGCCAAUACUGACGCUCAUGCGCGAAAGCGUGGGGAGCAUUCGGGAUUAGAUACCCUGGUAGUCCACGCCCUA